UAAAAAUUAGUUAAAUAAUAACAUUAAAUUGUCAAUUUAAAAUAACUACCAUAAUUAGUAUUUUUAU
rnacentral:tRNA from 1 species